AUUGAACGCUGGCGGUAUGCUUUACACAUGCAAGUCGAACGGUAACAGGCCGCAAGGUGCUGACGAGUGGCGAACGGGUGAGUAAUGCAUCGGAACGUGCCCAGUCGUGGGGGAUAACGCAGCGAAAGCUGUGCUAAUACCGCAUACGAUCUAUGGAUGAAAGCGGGGGACCGUAAGGCCUCGCGCGAUUGGAGCGGCCGAUGUCAGAUUAGGUAGUUGGUGGGGUAAAGGCCUACCAAGCCGACGAUCUGUAGCUGGUCUGAGAGGACGACCAGCCACACUGGGACUGAGACACGGCCCAGACUCCUACGGGAGGCAGCAGUGGGGAAUUUUGGACAAUGGGCGCAAGCCUGAUCCAGCAAUGCCGCGUGCGGGAAGAAGGCCUUCGGGUUGUAAACUGCUUUUGUACGGAACGAAACGGCCUGGGUUAAUACCCUGGGCUAAUGACGGUACCGUAAGAAUAAGCACCGGCUAACUACGUGCCAGCAGCCGCUGUAAAAC
rnacentral:rRNA from 1 species